rnacentral:rRNA from 1 species
AUUGAACGCUGGCGGCAGGCCUAACACAUGCAAGUCGAACGAGUGGCGGACGGGUGAGUAAUGUCUGGGAAACUGCCUGAUGGAGGGGGAUAACUACUGGAAACGGUAGCUAAUACCGCAUACUAUCAGAUGAGCCUAGGUCGGAUUAGCUAGUUGGUGGGGUAAAGGCCUACCAAGGCGACGAUCCGUAACUGGUCUGAGAGGAUGAUCAGUCACACUGGAACUGAGACACGGUCCAGACUCCUACGGGAGGCAGCAGUGGGGAAUAUUGGACAAUGGGCGAAAGCCUGAUCCAGCCAUGCCGCGUGUAUGAAGAAGGCCUUCGGGUUGUAAAGUACUUUCAGCGGGGAGGCGUUACCCGCAGAAGAAGCACCGGCUAACUCCGUGCCAGCCGCCGCGGUAAUUC